rnacentral:rRNA from 1 species
UACGUAGGGUGCGAGCGUUGUCCGGAAUUACUGGGCGUAAAGAGCUCGUAGGUGGUUUGUUGCGUCGGCUGUGAAAACUCGAGGCUCAACCUCGAGACGCCGGUUGAAACCAUCUGGCUAGAGUCCGGAAGAGGAGAGUGGAAUUCCUGGUGUAGCGGUGAAAUGCGCAGAUAUCAGGAGGAACACCGGUGGCGAAGGCGGUUCUCUGGGCAUGUCCUGACGCUGAGGAGCGAAAGUGUGGGGAGCGAACAGG